UGGUUGAUACAUGAGUGAAAUAAUUUAGUGAAGCAGAUGACACUGUUACUGAUGUGUCGAAGGACAGUGUCAAAAAUUAAGAAAUGACUCUGUAACAAACAUUAAAAUCAUUUCUACACUACUAAACUUUUAGUCAUUUCCUUCUGAAAUAGUUCCCGAAAAAGAUUUCAAAACUAUCGAAACCUUGGAAAAUCCUAUCACUGGGAAUCAUAUAUUACCGGGAAGAUAUCAUCGACAUCUGCUUCAGCUACACGUCAGUAACAGGCAGAAAGCUGCUUAGAAUCGGAACGGAAAGCAAAGAUUCUGGAUCACUCAUCCUAAAGGCCUUGAAAGAGACAAAGAAGUGCUGCUUCUACAAUGACCUCUAAAGAUUUUGUGAUGAAAACGGGAUAUAAACUAGUGCCGCCCGACGGUGGUUAUGGAUAUGUUAUAUUGGUUGCUGCCUCUGUGAACUUGGCGCUAUCCGCGACGCGACGGGCGACUAUACAAUCAUGUUCACGAUCAUGAUCGGCUUCCUAAUAGUGACCGUCGUGGCUUGGAUCAUCGAGCUGAUACGUGGGAGGAAAAAGAUGAAUAUAAUGAAGUGAUCUGAAA